rnacentral:tRNA from 1 species
GGAGAGGUGGCUGAGCGGUCGAAAGCGGCGGUCUUGAAAACCGUUGAGGGUUUAUCCCCUCCGUGGGUUCGAAUCCCACUCUCUCCGCCA